CCUACGGGAGGCAGCAGUGAGGAAUAUUGGUCAAUGGCCGGAAGCCUGAACCAGCCAAGUCGCGUGCAGGAUGACGGUCCUAUGGGUUGUAAACCUCUUUUAUCCGGGAGCAAAGCGCCCUACGUGUAGCGCUUUGCGAGUACCUUAAGAAAAAGCAUCGGCUAACUCCGUGCCAGCAGCCGCGGUAAUACGGAGGAUGCGGGCGUUAUCCGGAUUUAUUGGGUUUAAAGGGUGCGCAGGCGGAAUGUCAAGUUAGCGGUAAAAGUUCGGGGCUCAACCCCGCCCUGCCGUGGAAACUGGCGUGCUUGAGUGCGCGAGAAGCAGGCGGAAUGCGUGGUGUAGCGGUGAAAUGCAUAGAUAUGACGAAGAACCCCGAUUGCGAAGGCAGCAUGCCGGAGCGGAACUGACGCUGAUGCACGAAAGCGCGGGUAUCGAACAGGAUUAGAUACCCCUGUAGUC
rnacentral:rRNA from 1 species